UCGCCUGUUUAACAAAAACAUAGCUAGACUAAAUCUAGUAUAUCUGCCCAAUGAUAAAAUUUUUAUGGCAAUCCCUAAGGUAGCAAAAUAAUUAGUCUCUUAAUUGGAGACUAGUAUGAAGACAGCAUUAUAAAAAGAUAUAUAAGCUAAAAAUAUGAAAUUAAAAUCUAAGUGAAAAUUCUUAGAUAACCCCUGAAGACGAUAAGACCCUAAAACCUUCACUAUGUUUUGCUGGGAUAGCACUUUCAAAAUAACAAAUUAACCUCAGGCAUAACUAACCAGAGUAACGCUCUAUAAAAAAGGUACUUUAGGGAUAACAGCACUACUGUUUUUUUAAGCCCAAAUUUAUAAAACACUUAGUGACCUCGAUGUUGAAUUAAGCAACAUAACUUUGCAGCCAAAGAUUAUGUUAAGUCUGUUCGACUUAAAAAGCUUACAUGAUUUGAGUUAAGAUCGACGCAAGCCAGGUUGGUUUCUAUC
rnacentral:rRNA from 1 species